AGAGUUUGAUCCUGGCUCAGGAUGAACGCUAGCGGCAGGCUUAACACACGCAAGUCGAGGGGCAGCGGGGAGGAAGCUUGCUUUCUCCGCCGGCGACCGGCGCACGGGUGAGUAACACGUAUGCAACCUGCCCCUGUCAGGGGGACAACCCGCCGAAAGGCGGGCUAAACCCGCGUACAUGCCACCGGGGCAUCCCGGAGGCAGGAAAGGCUUCGGCCGGACAGGGAUGGGCAUGCGGCGCAUUAGGCAGUAGGCGGGGUAACGGCCCACCUAACCGACGAUGCGUAGGGGUUCUGAGAGGAAGGUCCCCCACACUGGUACUGAGACACGGACCAGACUCCUACGGGAGGCAGCAGUGAGGAAUAUUGGUCAAUGGUCGGGAGACUGAACCAGCCAAGCCGCGUGAGGGAGGAAGGUACAGAGUAUCGUAAACCUCUUUUGUCAGGGAACAAAGGCGGGGACGUGUCCCCGGAUGAGUGUACCUGAAGAAAAAGCAUCGGCUAACUCCGUGCCAGCAGCCGCGGUAAUACGGAGGAUGCGAGCGUUAUCCGGAUUUAUUGGGUUUAAAGGGUGCGCAGGCGGUCUGUUAAGUCAGCGGUCAAAGCCCGGGGCUCAACCCCGGCCCGCCGUUGAAACUGGCAGUCUCGAGUUGGAGAGAAGUAUGCGGAAUGCGCGGUGUAGCGGUGAAAUGCAUAGAUAUCGCGCAGAACUCCGAUUGCGAAGGCAGCGUACCGGCGCCCAACUGACGCUGAAGCACGAAGGCGUGGGUAUCGAACAGGAUUAGAUACCCUGGUGGUCCACGCAGUAAACGAUGAAUGCUAGUUGUCCGGGGCGAUUGAGUUCUGGGUGACACAGCGAAAGCGUUAAGCAUUCCACCUGGGGAGUACGCCGGCAACGGUGAAACUCAAAGGAAUUGACGGGGGCCCGCACAAGCGGAGGAACAUGUGGUUUAAUUCGAUGAUACGCGAGGAACCUUACCCGGGCUCAAACGCAGGAGGGAUGUUUUUGAAAGGAGGCAGCCAGCAAUGGUCUCCUGCGAGGUGCUGCAUGGUUGUCGUCAGCUCGUGCCGUGAGGUGUCGGCUUAAGUGCCAUAACGAGCGCAACCCCUACCUACAGUUGCCAUCGCGUGAUGGCGGGUACUCUGUGGGGACUGCCUGCGCAAGCAGUGAGGAAGGCGGGGACGACGUCAAAUCAGCACGGCCCUUACGUCCGGGGCGACACACGUGUUACAAUGGCAGGUACAGCGGGAAGCCACCCGGCGACGGGGCGCGGAACCCGAAAACCUGUCUCAGUUCGGAUUGGAGUCUGCAACCCGACUCCAUGAAGCUGGAUUCGCUAGUAAUCGCGCAUCAGCCACGGCGCGGUGAAUACGAACCCGGGUCUUGCACUCACCGCCCGUCA
rnacentral:rRNA from 1 species